rnacentral:snRNA from 1 species
AGCUUUGCGCAGUGGCAGUAUCGUAGCCAAUGAGGUUUAUCCGAGGUGCGAUUACUGCUAAUUGAAAAAUACGGAUUUGAGAAACAGCAGCAGCAUCCUUCAGAGAGGAUUCUCCAGCUCU